UCAAGCCAGCAGCGGAGGCCUGAGUCCUUCUCAUGCCAUCUCUCUGUUCUCUCUCCUGCCUCCUCCUCCACACUGAAGGACCCCUGUGAUCACACUGGCCCCCCCACCGGAUGACCCAGGAUAAUCCAUCUCCCUGUUUGAAGGUCGGCUGAUUAGCAACCUUCAUUCCAUCUGCCUCCUUCAUUCCCCCUGGCCAUGUAAUGGGAUUCACAGCUUCUGGGGAUUAGGACAUGGACAUCUUGUGGCGGGGGCAUAAUUCUGUCGACGACACCAAGAAACACUUGGAUGUUAAGGAUUCACCGAACACUGUUCAGGCUCCAGGUGCUGGGAGCAGCAGUGAACAAAGCCAACAGACACUGCCACCCUCAAGGAGUUCACGUUCAUGGGCGAGGGAACAGAUGAGAAACCCGGCAAUGAAAGCUCCACCAUCUCUUCCCCUAAAGGCAACCACCAUUCUGAUUUCUCUCACCAAAGACUGGAAAAAUAUCCCAAUACCUGGAUGUAUGCCUCACGUGUCCCGCUGGCCCCAGCACCCAGGUAUAGUUAGUUACUGCUGUGCCUGGCUUC
rnacentral:lncRNA from 10 species